rnacentral:rRNA from 1 species
AUGAAGGGCUUUUCAAUAAAGUCAAAUACGUCUUACAGGUCGUCCUACACAGGUGUGGUGGAAAAACAGCAAUUCUGCUGUAACAAGUUCCGCAAAGUAGUAGAGAGGGUUGGGAUCCCGGAUGUUCCCUCGUCGAGCAAAAACACUACAUGUCCAAGCUCACCUGAACAAGAUGUUGAAGAGGAUGUCGAGGAACGCACUUUCAAGAAGAAGAGGAAACGAGAAACUGUGAAGCAAACAAAAUGUCGUGCUAAGAUGGCGGUGAAGCUUAAAGAUGACAGAUGGGAGGUUAUCACUUUUAUUGCAGAUCACAACCAUCCACUGAUUGAGAAGCCAUCGCUUUCGAAAUACCUCCGUUCUCACCAAGGAAUCCCGCCGGAAUAAAAAAAUUACACUCACCUAAACGACUGCAACUUGAUAGCAGGAAAGAUGAUGAUGUUAAUGUCAUCAUACUUCGGCUCGGAGUUGAUUGUUCCGUACACAGCUAAAGCCAUCCAUAACCACUGUUCGAAGCUCAACGCCCCA